CGAAACAAGCCAAGACCCAUUGAAGCGCAUUCUGAAUAUAGACAUUGACGAUUUGAACAAUAAUUUUGCUGAUGUGACGUUGCAGCUGCUGCAGCAUUUAGUUGGGGA
rnacentral:ribozyme from 1 species